UACGAGUGGCCCAAGCGUUAUCCGGAAUUAUUGGGCGUAAAGGAUGUGUAGGUGGUUGUAUUAGUCGUCGGUCUAACCUCUGUGCUCAACAUGGAGACAGCCGAGGAAACGGUACAGCUAGAGUAGAGUAGGGGUAAGCGGAACUCAUAGUGUAGGGGUGAAAUCCGUUGAUAUUAUGGGGAACACCAAAAGCGAAGGCAGCUUACUGGACUCUUACUGACACUGAAACAUGAAAGCGUGGGUAGCGAAUGGG
rnacentral:rRNA from 1 species